GUUUACACGUGCAUCCCCUGGUCACUGAUUGGCCCCUGUGAAGAGCAGCUGGAACUGUGAUUGGGCACCAGACCAGGAGCUCCCUCUGCUUUGCUAGGCUGUGCCAAGAUGUGAGCUACUGAGAUCCUCAAGGGGAUAAGUCAAUGUUUUACAGGAAAAUGUCUUUGCACAUCUUGAGUUGUAUCCAAGUCACAUAAGUCCAACAAAAGAGGUGCAGAUGCCAUGCAAAAGGAUGUAACUUAUCCAAACAAGGGUGCUGGCUGAAAUGCUAGAGUCCAAUAAAGGCUGCACUGGAUCCAAGGAAAUGCAUUCUGUGGUGUUGAAAUAUUCAGAUGCUAUGAUGAUGAGGCCAGAAAGGAUGGUGCAUAAAGAUGUGAUCAGCACCCUCUAUAAUUUAUACAUGUGUGCUGACUUGGCCUCAGAGACCCCAGCCAGCUGCUGAAAUGAAUGAUCUCUUCAGGAAAUGGUGUAGCAGAGGAGGGGAGGUGAAGUUCGGUGAGGGGGAGGUCUGGGCAGGCCAGGAU